GUGCUAAGCUUGCUUUGGCAGCACAUAUAUUAAAAAUUGAAAUGAUGCAGAAAAAAUUAGUACAGUCCCUGCACAAGGUGACAUGAAAAUUUGUGUAGUGUUCCAUAAAGUU
rnacentral:snRNA from 1 species